rnacentral:rRNA from 1 species
AAACGACUCUCGGCAACGGAUAUCUCGGGUUGCGCCCGAAGCCUUUGGCUGAGGGCACGUCU